UUAUGUAAUCAUUUAUUUUAUUAUUGCAAUAACUAGAAAUUUACGAGUAACCUUUAGAAAAUGUAUUAAUUAUUUAAAGAUGACAAUAAUUUUGUUACGUAGAACGGAUCGCAUUGUUUUGACAACAGCAACAGAGCACUUGUAUCAAAUAUCAACAAUUGAAAAUUUUGCCUAAAGUGUUGUAUAUGUUCGGAACGAAUACAACCAAAAUCCUUCUAUCCUGUACGGUGUGAAUGAAUUCAAAAGAAGGAACCGUAUUUUGAAACACACGGUAUUAAAUGUGAUCCUACCGCUGAUCAGUGAUCAUUACAAACUUGCAACCUUAUAACAACAGAGGAUCGCCAAACCUACCGCAAUUGCAAAUACUUAUUGCAUUAAGGCAUAAAAAUGCAACUGGAUGUUUUCAGAUGGUGUGUGGUGAUCUGAACAGCAUAAGCCAAUCUACAGUCUGUUUAAUUAUAAAUAAAGUCUCUGCAGAGUUGAGUAAAUUA